GAGCCGCAGUGAAUUGGUGGUGGCGACUGUUUACUAAAAACAUAGGUCUGUGCGAAGUCCUAAAGACGACGUAUACGGACUGACGCCUGCCCGGUGCUGGAAGGUUAAAAGGAGGGGUCAGCGCAAGCAAAGCUCCGAAUUGAAGCCCCAGUAAACGGCGGCCGUAACUAUAACGGUCCUAAGGUAGCGAAAUUCCUUGUCGGGUAAGUUCCGACCUGCACGAAUGGCGUAACGAUCUCCACACUGUCUCGGCCAGAGACUCGGUGAAAUUGCAGUCGCGGUGAAAAUUCCGUGUACCCGCAGAAAGACGGAAAGACCCUGUGCACCUUUACUAUAGCUUGACAUUGGAUUUUGGGCCUGCAUGUGUAGGAUAGGUGGGAGGCUGUGAACCCUGUACGCCAGUAUGGGGGGAGCCAUCCUUGAAAUACCACCCUUGCAUGUUUAAGAUCCUAACUUCUUCCGGUUAUCCCGGAGAAAGACAGUGUCUGGCGGGUAGUUUGACUGGGGCGGUCGCCUCCUAAAGUGUAACGGAGGCAUGCAAAGGUUCCCUCAGCCUGAUCGGAAACCAGGCGCUGAGUGCAAACGCAUAAGGGAGCUUGACUGUAAGAGAGACAUCUCGAACAGGAACGAAAGUUGGCGUUAGUGAUCCGGUGGUCCCGAAUGGAAGGGCCAUCGCUCAUUGGAUAAAAGGUACGCCGGGGAUAACAGGCUGAUCGCAUCCAAGAGUUCACAUCGACGAUGCGGUUUGGCACCUCGAUGUCGGCUCAUCACAUCCUGGGGCUGAAGCAGGUCCCAAGGGUACGGCUGUUCGCCGUUUAAAGUGGUACGCGAGCUGGGUUUAAAACGUCGUGAGACAGUUUGGUCCCUAUCUUCUGUGGGCGAAGGAGAAUUGAGAGGGCCUGUCCCUAGUACGAGAGGACCGGGAUGGACGCACCCCUGGUGAUCCUGUUGUCGCGCCAGCGGCAUAGCAGGGUAGCUAUGUGCGGAAGGGAUAACCGCUGAAAGCAUCUAAGCGGGAAGCCUGCCUCAAGAUAAGUUCUCCCCUCGAAAGAGCUGAAGGGCCCGGGUAGACUACCCGGUCGAUAGGCUGGAGGUGUAAGCGCGGCGACGUGCUCAGCUGACCAGUACUAAUAGCCCGAGCGGCUUAUUUUU
rnacentral:rRNA from 1 species